CCAAAGGCUCUUUUCAGAGCCACCCAUGUAGUCAGAAAAGAGUUGG
rfam:Anas platyrhynchos breed Pekin duck contig23316, whole genome shotgun sequence.